GACUGAAGUGGAUGUGGCUGGGGUCCUCUUACUCUAUGUGCUCAUUCUAGGGCAUCUCUCUUCUCCUUCAUCUCAAAAUAUAUACUAACAUAACAUCUACUCCCUCUCUAGCAGUAGGCUCUACAGGAACUAAUGGGCUAGUAGACUAGGUCGGAAUUACUAUCGGAGGGAUAUGGUACCUCUGUGCAAGGAUCAACUUUGCCGAAACCUAAAUCAUAUUAGUAUGGGCCAUGCCCGUCGCCUUUACCCUCACAUCAACACCUA
rnacentral:lncRNA from 1 species